rnacentral:rRNA from 1 species
GAACGCUGGCGGCGUGGAUAAGACAUGCAAGUCGAACGGAAACAUGAUUAGUUUACUAAGAUUGUUUUAGUGGCGGACGGGUUAGUAACACGUGAGCAACUUACCUCAAAGUGGGGGAUAGCCUUCCGAAAGGAAGAUUAAUACCGCAUAUGGUCUUCGGAUCAAAGGCAGCUUCGGCUGUCGCUUUGAGAUAGGCUCGCGUCCUAUCAGUUAGUUGGUGAGGUAAUGGCUCACCAAGACUACGACGGGUAGCUGUUCUGAGAGGAAGAUCAGCAACACUGGAACUGAGACACGGUCCAGACACCUACGGGUGGCAGCAGUCGAGAAUCAUUCACAAUGGACGAAAGUCUGAUGGUGCAACGCCGCGUGGAGGAUGAAGGCCCUAGGGUCGUAAACUCCUGUCAUAGCAGAGUAAGGCAUAUUAGUUAAUAGCUAGUAUGUUUGAUAGUAUGUUAAGAGGAAGGGACGGCUAACUUCGUGCCAGCAGCCGCGGUAAUACGAAGGUCCCGAGCGUUAUUCGGAAUCACUGGGCGUAAAGGGAGCGUAGGCGGCGCGGUAAGUCAGAUGUGAAAUCUCAGGGCUCAACCCUGAAACUGCAUUCGAUACUGCCGUGCUAGAGUAAUGGAGAGGUAACUGGAAUUCUCAGUGUAGCAGUGAAAUGCGUAGAUAUUGAGAGGAAGACCAAUGGCGAAAGCAGGUUACUGGACAUUUACUGACGCUGAGGCUCGAAGGCUAGGGUAGCGAAAGGGAUUAGAUACCCCUGUAGUCCUAGCA